UGCGCAGGCGGCUGUGCAAGACAGAUGUGAAAUCCCCGGGCUUAACCUGGGAACUGCAUUUGUGACUGCACGGCUAGAGUUUGUCAGAGGAGGGUGGAAUUCCGCGUGUAGCAGUGAAAUGCGUAGAUAUGCGGAAGAACACCAAUGGCGAAGGCAGCCCUCUGGGACAUGACUGAGCUCAUGCACGAAAGCGGUGGGGAGCAAACA
rnacentral:rRNA from 1 species